AUUUUGCUAAGCAGCACAGACUUAGAAACAGACUGAGACCACAAGAGGUUCUGUGAAUAUUUGAACUGCAUUGGAACUGGAAGAAAACUUUGAAAAAGUACAUGUUAUCCCGACUGUUUUUUUAGAGGGUCUGGCUCUGAGCCCUGGUUCUCCCUGAUUCCUGGUCCUAUUCCUGGUUCUACCAACGCUGGAUUUCUCUUCGUUCACCCUGGUGCCUGGUUCCCUGGUCCACCUCCUCAACUAACAGCGCUGCAACGAUUGUACUGACACUGAGUAUUAAAGGGGCGGUAGGACAUUUUUUCUAAUUGAGUGCACUCGGGGUAAUUUUGUUUGGAUUGGACAAUAUUUUAUUUUGAGAUCUCAGAUGUUGUUUGGCCAAAUGUGUAAAGAUAUUUUGUGUGUUAUUGUAAUUUACUGUGAAUAGACAAAAGAGCUGAAUAAUAAUUAUCAAUUCUACAUUUAAUCACCAAUCUGUUGUAGUGUGCUUCUUUUGGGGGUGGAAUCUAUCAGUUUAUUAACUAGUUGACCUAUUUUCAACCGACCUCCUCAUUGAACCUAGAUUUAGAUAACCCUCACUUUAGACAUUUGGAGCUAUUAUCAACAGUGCUA